rnacentral:lncRNA from 1 species
CUAGUGUCCUCGCGAAGGGUGCGGAGCACCCUAACUCGCACUCGCACUCGCACUCGCACACGCUCGCGCGCGCGCGCGUGGCGUGGGCGAUGAGGCGCAAUGUGGCGCUUUGAUGGCGCACUUUGCACUUCGCACGCUCGCAUCGCCGCGAGCCGCUUGAGAGCCGCCUUUGUAUUUUUGACCGCGCGCGCGUGGUGAAGCAUAAGGGUUGCAAGGACCAAGUGGUAGGUGAUGCGGUGCAUGACGUGGCAGUCAUGCGCGCGCGGGUACACGAGGCGCGCGGUUCGGAGCAUGGUGCAUGGGUCCUACUGUGCCGUGUGCGGCGCACCAGAGUGAGCCAAUACGGCGCGACUGUGUGGCGCGCACGUAUAGACUCACAAGGUGACGUGGCGCACGCCGCAUGGACGGACUUGAGCUGCACCGCCGCACGCCGCAUGGACAGACUUGAGCCGCACCGCCGCACGCCG